AACGAACGCUGGCGGCAGGCUUAACACAUGCAAGUCGAACGCGCCCUUCGGGGCGAGUGGCAGACGGGUGAGUAACGCGUGGGAACCUACCUUUUGGUACGGAAUAACUCAGGGAAACUUGAGCUGAUACCGUAUAAGCCCUGACUUUUAAUCGGGUCUGGGGAAAGAUUCAUCGCCAAAGGAUGGGCCCGCGUCGGAUUAGCUAGUUGGUGGGGUAAUGGCCUACCAAGGCGACGAUCCGUAGCUGGUCUGAGAGGAUGAUCAGCCACACUGGGACUGAGACACGGCCCAGACUCCUACGGGAGGCAGCAGUGGGGAAUAUUGGACAAUGGGGGCAACCCUGAUCCAGCCAUGCCGCGUGAGUGAUGAAGGCCUUAGGGUUGUAAAGCUCUUUCGCCGGUGAAGAUAAUGACGGUAACCGGAGAAGAAGCCCCGGCUAACUUCGUGCCAGCCGCCGCCGUAA
rnacentral:rRNA from 1 species